CACGGCGCGAGGGACAGACGGAGCAACGCGUGCGCCUUCCUCCCGGGCUACCUUUGCAAACCAACGGGCGCGUUUGCAAUGGGAGGCUGGUUGCUGGAAUGACUCGCUUCUUUGUUCGUGGCAGGGGGGUGUGGAAAACCUGGGUAUGCAGCAGGGGAGACUAGGCUGUAACCAGCAACCGGUGCGUGUGCUGCACAAUCUGGCAGGAAACAAUUUUUGGCAAAGAAGGAAGUUUCAGGUUCUGGAAGUUGUCUGAUAAAAUAAAAGAAUGUGUGAUACCCCUCAGAGACUUCCAGAUGCUUUUUCUGCCUCUUUAUGCCCCUUGCACCUCUUUCUGCAAGAUCCAAUAGCAUCAUGAGAUGUAUAGUUAUGUGGAACCAAAUCCUGCCUGUUUGACUCACGCAAGUAGCUCUACUGAUGUCAACAGGACUAUUUGUCCAAGACCUUGAGGAAUACACCACGCACCCCUGCCACCGGCUUCGGCAGAUAAGGCAGAAGCAGAGAUGCAGCAAAGAAGACAUGUUCAGGGAGGUGCUGCAG